GCCUACGGGAGGCAGCAGUAGGGAAUCUUCCACAAUGGGCGAAAGCCUGAUGGAGCAACGCCGCGUGGGUGAAGAAGGUCUUCGGAUCGUAAAACCCUGUUGUUAGAGAAGGAAGUGCGUGAGAGUAACUGUUCACGUUUCGACGGUAUCUAACCAGAAAGCCACGGCUAACUACGUGCCAGCAGCCGCGGUAAUACGUAGGUGGCAAGCGUUAUCCGGAUUUAUUGGGCGUAAAGAGAACGCAGGCGGUCUUUUAAGUCUGAUGUGAAAGCCUCCGGCUUAACCGGAGUAGGGCAUUGGAAACU
rnacentral:rRNA from 1 species